ensembl:lncRNA
CAAGUCCCCGAGGAGCAGCUCCGAGGCCCGAGCGCGCGGCUGAGAGGCGCCGCCGCCGCCGCCGCCGCCGGGAUGCGCUCUGCCUAGCGAGACUGCCGAGAGACGCCUGAAGGCCACCGCGCCAAGGACACGCGGCCCGCCGCUCCUCGCGCGCCCGAGCCCGCACGCCGCCAGUGCCGGAGCCGCGGAGAGCGCGAGCGAAGGGCGGCAGGAGGGAGAGCGCGCGGGAGGCAGCCCCUCCUCAGCGAGCCAUGCGUGCCGCGAGCAGCUGAGGAGCCGCCAGGCGCCGCUGCCAAGUCUCCGCUCCGCUUUUGUCUUGCCCUCCAGUGAAUGGGAAGAUGGAGAUGGAUGUGGAGGGAGUUUCUCCGCGCCCGGAGCCCAUCCCCCGCUCCCAGGGGGCUGGCGGAGCCUGCCCGGCGCCGCCACCGCCGCCCCAGCCCCAGCCCCAGCCGCCGCCGCCGCCGCAGCAGCUGGCUCAGGAUGAACUGCCCGGCGAGAGUGCCGGCGCCGAGGACAGCGACGAUCCCGAGGCGAGAGCCAGCGGCGAGCGAGGAGAGGGCAAGAUGGAGGACAGGAGGACUCAAACAAAAAGACCAUUUCUUUCGAGAAAAGCGCGGAUUGCCACAGCAGUUCUGAUGGGAGACUACGAUAUGACUAGGCUGCCGUCUAGCCUGGUUCAAAUCGAAUGUCUGGUAAGGAAAGAUUGGGAAUGGGGUUACCGCAGGCAGGCAGCUGAAGCAGCAAGGACCAGUCUGUUCCUUUAUGAGUAA